GCAUAUCAAUAAGCGGAGGAAAAGAAACUAACAAGGAUUCCCCUAGUAACGGCGAGUGAAGCGGGAUGAGCUCAAAUUUAAAAUCUGGCUGGUUUACUAGUCCGAAUUGUAGUUUAUAGAAGCGUUUUCGGUGGCAGCCUGGGUAUAAAUCCUUUGGAAUAGGGUAUCAUAGAGGGUGAGAAUCCCGUCUUUGACUCAGUGCAUGCUACUAUGUGAUACGUUUUCAAAGAGUCGAGUUGUUUGGGAAUGCAGCUCAAAAUGGGUGGUAAAUUUCAUCUAAAGCUAAAUAUUGGCGAGAGACCGAUAGCGAACAAGUACCGUGAGGGAAAGAUGAAAAGAACUUUGAAAAGAGAGUUAAACAGUGCGUGAAAUUGUUGAAAGGGAAACGUUUGACACCAGUUAUGCGGGUGGAAAAUCAGUCUUUUGCAAUGGGGAGUUGUGGGCGUUCAGACCGCAAGGCUGGCGUUUGCUUCAUCUUUGUUGUAAGUGAUGCACUUUUUCAUUUGCAGGUCAACAUCAGUUUGCUUUGCUGGACAAAACCCCAAGGGAAGGUGGCAGCUUAGGCUGUGUUAUAGCCCUGGGGCGAUACAGUGGAGUGGACUGAGGUUUCGCAGUGUGUGCUCUCGGGCAAGGCUGACUGGGUGCUAUGGGAUCGUUCGGCGUACAAUGCAUGCAUUGUGCGUCGUGUCUUUUUCAUACUCGCUCAACUCGGCUCUUCCACACUUAGGA
rnacentral:rRNA from 2 species